GCCACAUAAGUUUGAAACUCCGGUUCCUGUACGUUCACCGAAGUUAAGCAACGUCGACCCUGGUCAGUAACUAGAUGGUUGACCGUUUGUGAAUACCAGGUGCUAUA